AUGUUUUGCUGCCUCAAACAGUCAUUCACGGAUCACUGAAGCAAUAUUUAUACAUGCAGGAGUGUGUUUAUAUGCAUUGCAAUGAAGGCGUAUAGAAAGGAGGGAGUACUUUGGACAAAAAGAUUAAAAGAGAUUUCAGCAUUGCCUUAGACAUCAUUAGAGAGCCUCAAUUCAUCAGAGAUUCUGAAACUGUAAACUCUGCCAAUGGUGCAUUUGAGUUUGGACUCUUCAACUCUUAAAAUCCAACAAAUCGCUCUGUAGGAAUCAUCUGAGAUUUAUCCGGGAUUCUUGCAAUAUCUGAGGACAAGACUCUUGUGCUGAAUCAAGAUAAAGAGGUUAUUGAAACUGCCAAUGACAAAUGUGCCAGAUUUUGCCUAUCAGUCAUUUGUUUCUCAGGACAGAUGCAGCAUUUAAUGCUUAAAUAAGUACAAUUGUACAGCAUACGCAUAUGAUGCUGCUAUUGGCAGCAUGUCUUUGGAUUGGAAACUUAAAUGACGUUGUAAGAUUCUCAAGUGGAAGAGCGGAUCGUUAUAUCUACCAUGCCCAUUCUGAAGGGAAGGAGUUGAAAGUAGUCAUGGCAGAUACAAUAUUUCGAUAAAAGUUUAAUAUAAUGAUAUUUCUUGCUAA